ensembl:lncRNA
CAAGUCACCAGGACAGUCUGCAAUCCUAGGUAUGCAAAGCCAAGGCAAAUUGAAAGCCAUGGCCCCUGUGCAUGUAGUAAGAGACAUGAGAACCCUAGUGAAAAACACAUACAACAUGUCCUUCAAGGGCACAGGGGAAUCAGCCCAUGGAAUAGAUGGGAGUGCUCCAUUGUUUCAGCCAUCAAUGCACAAUCUAAGCAACAACAUGGGUGAAGGAAAGGGAAAAGGAUACAGACAAGAUAAAAAAACCCUGGUACAGAAAGUCACUCCACCUCUUUCACUGGACAGAAGGAGAGAUCACUCUGCACCAAGAGGAUGCUUGACUAAGGUAAUGCCUCCUGUGGAAUCAAAUGGCAAAAGUCAUACUGUUGGAUUUACAAAGGUCAGCCCAAUUAGUGUAACCAAGGCAAACAGUUGUGCCUUGUCAAAGCCCUCAGAGACACAGGAUAGCCAAGUUGGCAUGGGUAAACCUGAUGUUCCAGUCAGUGAUACAAACUUGAAACCAACUAACAGGACAGACCUGGCACUGCAAGCUAAAAAGGAGGCCUCUACUGAAAAGCCUACAAAAGAAGAUUUGAACAAGGCAGAGCAUGAGAUGACCAUCAGCUCUGACAAAGAUAUACUUUUCCCAGUAGCACUGCAAUAUUGUCCACCCACAGCAAGUUCUGAGCAACAGGACCAUGGCAAGAUAAUUAGUGAUGGCCUCCAGACCCCAUGCCUUCCUCCCAGGUCACAGAGUUCAGUGGGACCUCUGUCUGCUUGCAUCCUAACGGUUGCUUCAACGCCCAUGGUUCCCUCAUAUUAUUACAAACCCAAUCCGCUGGGUUACCAGACAAUCUCUCCUCAUAUUGGAGCCGUUCAUGGCUAUGUUCAAGGGCCUGUCUUGUUUCAAACAUCUCUUUACAACCAGCCUUCUGCAUCAAACAGUCAUACCCCCCUACUGAGAUCCCUCUGUGAGGAUGGAAAAAUGCUAGUCCAUCCAACAUAUGGCUCAACCAGUCAAUCUCAGAACGGGGAAGCAGGGCUGAAAAUGUCUUCUCCAGAAAGCCAACACAAUACAAUCUUUGUUGCUCCCAUGAAUGCAGAGGCCAGGCUUGGGGGUACAGGUAUGCUGUAUCCAGAAACAGGAGGAAGUGUAGCAGCAGCACAAAACCCCCGCCAACUGUUGCUAGACCCGGAAACUGGCUGCUAUUUCUAUGUGGACAUGCCUCAGCUGCCACAGCGCAAGGUGCUGUUUGACCCAGAAACUUGCCAGUAUGUUGAGGUCCUAUUGCCACAGCAGACACUUCCCAGUGCUGUUUUGCCCACACCCUGUGCCAUAUCCUUUGCCUCUGUUCACAUCCCACCCAUGUAUACCCCACAAUGCUUACCUUACGUACAAUCACAUCCUCAGGUGCUCUCACCACCAGAACCAUGAAACCUGACUGGACCUAUAGACUGUAGAAGACAGUAGAAGAGUCAUGCCAAAGUAUCAGAUUACCCAGUGCCUAUUAAGUGCUGGAAAGGAGCUGUGUAUAAGCUUCUGGAUGAGUGAAACAUGUUGACCAUCUGCUGCCUUGGCCUCAAGGCGUCAAAGCUGAAAGCGUAUUCAGUUAGCACUGCAUUCAACACUCCUUACUUCGUAAAGGCUACCUCUGGACUUGGCAACUGACAUGGGUGAGACUGAUUAUAUCUGUUGAAAUGUUGUAAGAUGCAUAUGCAUUCACACAUUCAGGCUACAUAAACAGAGCAGGGGCCUUAAAGGGAGAG